rnacentral:misc_RNA from 1 species
UUUGUACACACCGCCCGUCACACCAUGGAAGCUGGUCACGCCCGAAGUCGUUACCCUAACCGUCAAAGGAGGGGGACGCCGAAGGUAGGACUGGUGACUGGGGUGAAGUCGUAACAAGGUAGCCGUACCGGAAGGUGUGGCUGGAUCACCUCCUUUUUAGGGAGACCCAAAGCAAUUCAAAAUGACCAAUUCAAAAUUCAAAAUGAAGAGUAAAACUUUUGAAUUUUGAACGAGCGAACUUUGAAUUGAUUUUAUCCCGAGGUCGAUCAUUAGUCAACAGUGCAAGCUUUCAAACUAUUUUUGGUUCACCUCAAUUGUGUAAUAUAGACUUACGAGAAAAAUUAUUUUUUUACCUCUGCAUAACAGACUAAACUUAUUAAUUUUUCAACUAAUCACUAUAGUUUUUGAUCAUUGACAGUAUCUAUAAGGGAAUAAAGUUUCAGCAUCUUGUGUUCCAAAGCAAGAAUGCUGGGGUAUUUCCAGCAAAAGAACCUUGAAAACUGCAUAGAAACGCGAAAUUUGUCAGGUAGUUAACUAUGAAUAACAGUUAACACUUCCAUAAAAAGCAGCAAUGAUUGUUUGUAGUCAAGCAAACAAAGGCGAAUGGUGGAUACCUAGGCACACAGAG